rnacentral:rRNA from 1 species
GGAUGAACGCUGGCGGCGUGCCUACUCCAUGCAAGUCGAGCGAACGGACGAGAAGCUUGCUUCUCUGAUGUUAGCGGCGGACGGGUGAGUAACACGUGGAUAACCUACCUAUAAGACUGGGAUAACUUCGGGAAACCGUAGCUAAUACCGGAUAAUAUUUUGAACCGCAUGGUUCAAAAGUGAAAGACGGUCUUGCUGUCACUUAUAGAUGGAUCCGCGCUGCAUUAGCUAGUUGGUAAGGUAACGGCUUACCAAGGCAACGAUGCAUAGCCGACCUGAGAGGGUGAUCGGCCACACUGGAACUGAGACACGGUCCAGACUCCUACGGGAGGCAGCAGUAGGGAAUCUUCCGCAAUGGGCGAAAGCCUGACGGAGCAACGCCGCGUGAGUGAUGAAGGUCUUCGGAUCGUAAAACUCUGUUAUUAGGGAAGAACAUAUGUGUAAGUAACUGUGCACAUCUUGACGGUACCUAAUCAGAAAGCCACGGCUAACUACGUG